rnacentral:misc_RNA from 1 species
AAAGUCAUAACAAGGUUUCCGUAGGUGAACCUGCGGAAGGAUCAUUAAAUAUUUGGUGCAAAAGGAUGCUUUGCAGCACCUGCCAAAACAGUAGAAGGUAGGGGGGGAGGUUGGGGAGUGGUUAGCCUACUUCUCUUGUCCCCCUCUCCACUGGGAAAAUUUAUCCCCCAACUGUGCACCUAUUGAAAGGAACUCAGUCAUUUUUUUUUUGGCCACUGGUAAAUAAUCUUAGUCUAAAUAUUUGUCUGAUAUCUUUUACUUAUAAUGAGUAAAAAAACCAAUACAACUUUCAACAAUGGAUCCCUUGGCUCUC